rnacentral:misc_RNA from 1 species
GAUGAAGAACGCAGCGAAAUGCGAUAAGUAAUGCGAAUUGCAGAAUUCAGUGAGUCAUCGAAUCUUUGAACGCACAUUGCGCCCUGUGGUAUUCCGCAGGGCAUGCCUGUUCGAGCGUCAUUUCAACCCUCAAGCUCUGCUUGGUGUUGGGCCCUGCCCGCUGUGGCCGGCCCUAAAGACAGUGGCGGUGCCGCCUGGCCCUGAGCGUAGUACAUCUCUCGCUCCAGUGCCCGGUGGUAGCCUGCCAGAACCCCAACUCUCGUGGUUGACCUCGGAUCAGGUAGGGAUACCCGCUGAACUUAAGCAUAUCAAUAAGCGGAGGA